GUAAAAAUGAAGUGGAUUUGUAUCUCACAGAGCCUAGGGAGAAGAAAAAUCCUGAUUUUGACAUUUUAAAUUGGUGGAAGGUGAAUUCUACCAAAUACCCUACCCUUGGUCUAAUAGCUAGAGAUAUAUUGGCUAUGCCAAUAUCCACUGUUGCUUCCGAGUCUGCUUUUAGCACAGGAGGUAGAGUUCUUAGUUUUUAUAGGAGCUCUCUUACACCUCACACUGUUGAAGCUUUAAUCUGUUCACAAAAUUGGUUAAGAUCUUCACCUUUGUCAGUUGAUAUUGAGGAGCAUUUGGAAGAUUUAGAGAAGCUCGAAGAAGAAUUAGCUCCGAUUCCACAAUUGAAUGAGGGGCUUUCUGAUAUUGAAUCUGAUUAGUAUAUGUGCUUCAAAAGGAAAUGAAAUGAUGGAGUCAUGGAGAUGGAGAAUUGGAGACAGUGCUACUUUGGUGUAAUCUGACAUGUGUUUUGAUACUUAUUUUUGUUACUAAUUGGUAUUGUAAUUGAGACUUAUUUUGGUAGUAAUUGGUAUUGUAAUAGGUAGUAAUUAGUAUGUGAUGCUGAAACUUAUAUGGUACUGUACUAUUUUGGCAGAUUGGAUUAUUAUUUUAGUAGUAAUGGAUUAUUAUUUU